rnacentral:misc_RNA from 1 species
UUUCCGUAGAUGAACCUGCGGAAGGAUCAUUAUUGAAUGAAACACUUCUGGCUUUAUGCUGUUGUGCUGGCCCUUUGGGCAAUGUGCACACGGCUCUGGUCACUUGUUUCUUCUGUUCCACCUGUGCACUGCCUGUAGACACGCUGUGUCUAUGAUAUUUGUUAACACACAACAAUGUUAGUUGGCAUGUUAUAUAUAAUAAUAAAAUAUACAACUUUCAACAACGGAUCUCUUGGCUCUC